rnacentral:rRNA from 1 species
UACAGAGGUCUCAAGCGUUGUUCGGAUUCAUUGGGCGUAAAGGGUGCGUAGGCGGCGCGGUAAAGUCGGGUGUGAAAUCUCGGGGCUUAACUCCGAAACUGCAUUCGAUACUGCCGUGCUUGAGGACUGGAGAGGAGACUGGAAUUUACGGUGUAGCGGUGAAAUGCGUAGAUAUCGUAAGGAAGACCAGUGGCGAAGGCGGGUCUCUGGACG